AAGUAUAUAAACACUGAAGGUAGCGCAGUCCCUCAGGGAAUAGCAAGAAAUACGGAUCCCGACUUUAAGGUGAAUUUCGUAUAACGCCAAUACAUAUAUUUACAGCAUGUUGUACGCAUUUGUAUUGAUAUACAAUAAAUUCACCUCAAAGUAGGGAUUCGCGUGUUUUUGCGGAUCUGCGCUACCUUCAGUGUUUAUAUACUUUGGCUUUUCUAGGGUGUGCAAAUCA